CGCCUGUUUAACAAAAACAUUUCUUUUAGAUUUUUUUAAAAGUAAUUUCUGCCCUAUGGUUUAUUCUAAAUGGCUGCAGUAUUUUGACUGUGCAAAGGUAGCAUAAUAAAUAGUUUUUUAAUUGAAGGCUGGUAUGAAUGGAGACUGAGAUACAUUUUUUAUUAAAUAUAAUUUUAUAAUUUAAAUUAAGUUAAAAUGCUUAAUUGAAUUCUUGGGACGAUAAGACCCUAUAGAACUUUAUAUAAAUUUCUAUUAGUUAAUUUUUGUAUAUAUAUUUUACUAAUUUAAUAUAUGGUUUGCUGGGGUGGUGAAUAAAUUUAAACUUUAUUAUAAUUAAUCACUAUGAUUGUUUAUUUUGAUAGGUUAUUAAAUAAUCAAGAAUAAGUUACCUUAGGGAUAACAGCGUAAUAACAAUGGAAAGUUCAUAUUUAUAUUGAUUUUUGCGACCUCGAUGUUGAAUUAAGGUAAAUUUUUAGAAGCAGUAUUCUUUGAGAAUAAGUCUGUUCGACUUUUAAAUCCUUACUUGAUCUGAGUUCAGACCGG
rnacentral:rRNA from 1 species